GACGAACGCUGGCGGCGUGCUUAACACAUGCAAGUCGAACGGAAAGGCCCUGCUUUUGUGGGGUGCUCGAGUGGCGAACGGGUGAGUAACACGUGAUUAACCUGCCCUUGACUUUGGGAUAACUUCAGGAAACUGGGGCUAAUACCGGAUAGGAGCUCCUGCUGCAUGGUGGGGGUUGGAAAGUUUCGGCGGUUGGGGAUGGACUCGCGGCUUAUCAGCUUGUUGGUGGGGUAGUGGCUUACCAAGGCUUUGACGGGUAGCCGGCCUGAGAGGGUGACCGGCCACAUUGGGACUGAGAUACGGCCCAGACUCCUACGGGAGGCAGCAGUGGGGAAUAUUGAACAAUGGGCGGAAGCCUGAUGCAGCAACGCCGCGUGCGGGAUGACGGCCUUCGGGUUGUAAACCGCUUUCGCCUGUGACGAAGCGUGAGUGACGGUAAUGGGUAAAGAAGCACCGGCUAACUACGUG
rnacentral:rRNA from 1 species